ncrna:unclassified sequences malK-I RNA
UAAACCCGUCCCAUCGCACUCCACUUUAUGCGUGGGAGGGGCAAAAGAAAGGAGCAAUACCGCCUUGUUCAGCGGUGCGGCAGUGUGGAGACCUGCCGUAAAGUCCGAGGGAUAUAGCUGCUCUCGGGCGAAACGGGGAUGCGGAGGCUGAACCGUUAUGGGCAAAAAGAUGGCA